rnacentral:lncRNA from 1 species
AUGGAUGCAUUUAACAUUUAAUUAUACAGCAUCUUUGCAGAGGAUGCUUUCAUGGUCUAAAAAAAGAAGGAAAAGUUAUGUAUAAGUUAAAGUAUAUAGUAAUGUAUAAGUUCAAUGUAAUGAAAUAAUAUUUCCUUUCUUUCUGUCUUACAGGAUUGUUUGCAGAUAAUGCUGUUCUUCUUUUUUCAGAAGUUUUUGAAAAGAAGGAAGGCCAAGGAAAUGAUUUGCUCAGGAUGAGGAAUGAAGAUGGCCAUCUUGUGCUCAAACAACCAGAAGUCCACUGGUCU